CGCUGGCGGCGUGCCUAAUACAUGCAAGUCGAGCGGAAUGAUGAAGAAGCUUGCUUCUUCUGAUUUUAGCGGCGGACGGGUGAGUAACACGUGGGCAACCUACCUUGUAGAUUGGGAUAACUCCGGGAAACCGGGGCUAAUACCGAAUAAUCCAUUUUGCUUCAUGGCGAGAUGUUGAAAGACGGUUUCGGCUGUCACUAUAAGAUGGGCCCGCGGCGCAUUAGCUAGUUGGUAGGGUAAUGGCCUACCAAGGCGACGAUGCGUAGCCGACCUGAGAGGGUGAUCGGCCACACUGGACUGAGACACGGCCCAGACUCCUACGGGAGGCAGCAGUAGGGAAUCUUCCACAAUGGACGAAAGUCUGAUGGAGCAACGCCGCGUGAGUGAAGAAGGUUUUCGGAUCGUAAAACUCUGUUGUAAGGGAAGAACACGUACGAGAGUAACUGCUCGUACCUUGACGGUACCUUAUUAGAAAGCCACGGCUAACUACGUG
rnacentral:rRNA from 1 species